UUUCUGUCAAGCUGGUAAAGAUGUUGAUGCUUUACUAGAAAAUCUAGGCGCUGA
rnacentral:sRNA from 1 species